AUUCCACUAAAACUAAGUGUUUGAUGACGUCACUAAUUGAAAAAUAAGGCCCUUCACAAUUAGUGACUUCAUCAAACACUUAGUUUUAGUGGAAUUGC
rnacentral:pre_miRNA from 1 species